rnacentral:rRNA from 1 species
AAGGGCCCACCAAACCGACGAUCAGUAGGGGUUCUGAGAGGAAGGUCCCCCACAUUGGAACUGAGACACGGUCCAAACUCCUACGGGAGGCAGCAGUGAGGAAUAUUGGUCAAUGGGCGGAAGCCUGAACCAGCCAAGUAGCGUGCAGGAUGACGGCCCUAUGGGUUGUAAACUGCUUUUGAAGGGGAGUAAAGUGAGUGACUUGUCAUUCAUUGCAAGUACCCUUGGAAUAAGGACCGGCUAAUUCCGUGCCAGCAGCCGCGGUAAUACGGAAGGUCCGGGCGUUAUCCGGAUUUAUUGGGUUU